CUCUGCAGCUUUUAUAUUACAUAAUAUAUUUAGGGUUAGUGCUACGGUUCCUUUAACCUCAAGGAAGCAUUGGGUUGCCUAAGAUCGGUAGGAAUUGCAAUUCCAGGAAUCUGCUGCCAAUAUGAAUUCAAUCUCCUCUCCUUUCGGCUUAUCUCAGUAGAGGUGUGGGCAGUGAGGAACAAUGUAGAAAAAUGCAAAGUUGUG